GUGCUCGCUUCGGCAGCAUAUAUACUAAAAUUGGAACGAUACAGAGAAGAUUAGCAUGGCCCCUGUGCAAGAAUGACAUGCGAAUUUGUGAAGCGAUCCAUAUUUUU